CUCCUCCAUUUGUGAACCCAACAUCCCUAAAUUAUGUGUUUCACUGUUCAUCUUUUGCUUUUUCUUUGUGAACCCUGAACUCAGUUAUCGAGUUUCAGGUAUGGUACAGUGAGCUUUUGAGACGAAAUUCUUUGUUGGAUGGAUAGUCGGGAGCAUAUCGGCCGAAAACCGUCCUCCGAGGUUCACAAUCGACAAACGAUGCUUGAUCAUCCUUUGCUUUCCAGGCCGGAAAUGGUAGUGAAAUCCGGGAAUAUGGUGGAGAGUGCUAAGUCUUUGAACAACAAUGUGGGUACUUCGAUCAUCGGUGAGGCAGUGAAGUUCCGGAUCGAUCUCAAUGAUGGCUUUAACAUUGAGUACGAUGGUUCUAAGUAAGUUGGCUUACCCUGAAUUGCAUGGAAAGGGUUCUCGGACAACUCACCGAUUCUUUGUUACAAAGAAGACUGGGGUUAAACAUGGUUCCCCGAGAACCGAAACAAAACAUGUUCGGAAUGUUCUUGAGUUUAUCUCCCGGAUUCAGUUUCCAUAGUCAGCUAGGACAGGACAAUUUUGUAGAUGUGUUUGUUUAAAGAACGAGUCAUUGGCUGAAAUUGAUGCAAUGGAAUUGGAUGUUUUGCAGAAGAUCCAUCUUUCAAGUAUGUGUUCAUCAGAAAAGAAUAACAACAGAGUUCAUGUGAACCCCUGAAUUACCUGAUAUGAUCAAAGAGCUUCCGGCAUUUUCGGCAGUGGUGAACUUGAUCAAUGAUGCAGGGAUAAGUACCUUGAAAACCCAGAGUUUAGAUGUAGAGCAUCUUGUUUGCCUCGCUAAGCAGCCCUCGGUUUCGUCUGCCGCUGCUGGUUGAGAUGUUCUUGGACAGGAGCCAAGCUGCUGCUGAUGUGUUAAACGACUCAAGUCGAGCAUUUCAGAACCCACGGUAGAUGGAAGCCAGGUGAGACCAGAACCGGAACUCAAUCAAACCGCAAUGCUAUUAAAGAAUGGAGACUCUUCCGAUGGUAUGAGGAAGAAUAGAACGGCGACUCUUCUCGAUGAUUCAAUGAGGAAGAACCGAGAAUCAUUUCUUUCAAAAUCUUGGAUUCAUAGAUGGUGUCGUCGGAGAAACAAAUCUCUGGACACAAAGCCUGAUGCUUUAGUGCCAUGUGAGCCAGAGACUUCAAAGGCAACAUUCGAUGAACUCCGACAGAAGCAAUUCCCGAGUAUUGCGGCUAUGGCUCUGAUGGGGAAGGCCAUGAACGGUUUCCAUCCUUGCAAAUUUCGAAGAAAGGGAUCUUCAAUAGUCUGGAGCAAUUGAAGGAAUUAAACCUUAAAUCUUAAACCCUAAUCGUUAUCAUCGAUAUUAUCGUAACAUCAAAUUUGUAGAUUCGAAUGAACUUAAUAACAUCUCUACUAACUUAAAAGCGCAGUAUCAUUCAUACUUUUAUUGAUUAUUUGAUGAACUGUGGCAUCAAAUGGAUAAAACAUAAUCAGCCAUACAAGCUUUCUACUCU